rnacentral:ribozyme from 1 species
CAUGUUUCAGGGAGUAAGGUUGGUCAUAAUAUCAUCAAGGAGGCUUUGAACUAUUUGACGUGAUAAUUGCUUGAACACGCAAAACAAAGUUUUGCUCACACAAUCUUGUGUCUUCUGCAAUAUUUCAG